GCUCCAGCUCGAGUUGCAGGGAGGUUUCUGAUGUGACUGCCCACUGUUCGUUUGUGCUCUUGACAAACUGUUCGAUCCCCCCCCCCCCCUCCUCUGUCUCUCUUUCCAGAUGGACCAGGAUUACAGAGUGACCAAGUUCGUGUCUCUGCUCAGAGACGAGGGGGCUGGACGCAGUUUCUACGAGUAGGAGAAUGAAACGAGCGUCUUGCCAUCAACAAACCAAUCCAUGGGACUAAACGAGGAAGAGGAGGAGGAGGAGGAGAAGAGAUCUUCCUCCAUUCUAUUCACCCACUGAUCUGUCCAUCUGAAUACACUCCAAGUCUGUGAGAGGAACACAGCAGUCCUCUUUGUCUCAGCAUGUUUCCACCCCCCCCCCCCCCGCAUCCGUGUCCUCCUCUUCCUCAUCUUCGUCUUCAAUCGCUGACAAUAUCCCCAGCAGACCCCUGGAGGUCACACACUGGUAUAAACCUGUCAUCUGUAAAGACGUUGCAAUAGAUGAUUGUAAAAAGUGCUGUUUUGUGCAUCAUGCAUUAAGAAGAGUUGUGUGUUUUAAUCUGUAGUAUUCGAUGUAUUUGUUGCGUAUCUCUUGUUUAGCUAAAGGUAGUCGUUGUCAGUACUGUAGCACAUGUAUCCUCACACACGAGAGCAGUAUAAACAACACAUCCAAGUCCUGAAGCCAUCAGAAUACUACGACUAUACGAGAGGCUUUUAGUGAAAGUGUAGUGGCUGUAAAAAGACGCUGUCCAUGUGUAAAUGUACUCCCUUUAAAUAUACAGUAUGUCCACGUUCUGUAAAUAGUAUAUAUAGACAAAAGGUAUAUCUAAAAACGAUAUAAAUGAGGUUUUAAGUCUAUUUGGUACUUUAUCAGUAUAUGAUUCUUCUUCCCCGUCGCUCCGGAGAUGUUGGCUGUGGUAGUGAAAGUGAUUGUUGGGUAGUUGGUCUGUCUGUGUGCGUUGCGUACAGUACAGUGUAGCUGCGGCAUCAUCAGUGUUAACAAAAAAAAAAAACUACAAAUCGAAUUUAAAAAAACUGCACUUUUAACUUCGACUCAAAAAAAAAAAACCCUUUACUACUUAUCUCAUCUGUGGGGACUGGAGCUCGUGUUCACUCGUGUGCAUGUGUGAGGAACUAAAUGCUGCAUGUGUGUGUGCGUGUGUGUGUGUGCACGUGUGUGUGUGUGUGCAUCUGAAUCCAGGUUUUGACGGUUGAUGGUUAAUUUCUUCCUCAUGUCACGUGUUCAGUGAUCAUCCACAGUUUUCCUGUUUCGUUCUGACCAUUGUCGACGUACGUGCGUGUAAAUAUAUUUGUCAACAUGCAGAUGUAUUAUUGCAAUAAAAA